CCUACGGGAGGCAGCAGUGAGGAAUAUUGGUCAAUGGCCGAGAGGCUGAACCAGCCAAGUCGCGUGAGGGAUGACGGCCCUACGGGUUGUAAACCUCUUUUGUCAGGGAACAAAGAGCGGGACGUGUCCCCCCUUGAGAGUACCUGAAGAAAAAGCAUCGGCUAACUCCGUGCCAGCAGCCGCGGUAAUACGGAGGAUGCGAGCGUUAUCCGGAUUUAUUGGGUUUAAAGGGUGCGAAGGGGGACUGUUAAGUCAGCGGUAAAAGUGGGGGGCUCAACCCCGUCCCGCCGUUGAAACUGGGAGUCUUGAGUGGGCGAGAGGUACGCGGAAUGCGUGGUGUAGCGGUGAAAUGCAUAGAUAUCACGCAGAACUCCGAUUGCGAAGGCAGCAUGCCGGCUCCCCACUGACGCUGAGGCACGAAAGCGUGGGUAUCGAACAGGAUUAGAUACCCCAGUAGUC
rnacentral:rRNA from 1 species